AUUUUUGUCACCGCCCCCGGCUGCUGCUGCUGCUGCCUGCUCUCGUCCACUUUACAGGCGAGGAGCAGUUAAUCUCCAACGAGCCUAUCCUCAGCAAUAACUUUAC